GUCUCUUGUCUUCCAGUGACAUGUUUCUGCAUUCCAGUGGACUUUUAUGCUCACUGUCCCUCUUUCCAGCGAUUUUUCUCCUUUUCCGGCAGCUGUAGCCGCCCUCCGCCAGAGCUUUGGCGACCUUUCCGUCCAGUGACUGAGGUGGACAAAGGCCAGUUAGUUUCGGGCCAUUCUGGGUUGUUUCAUUUGCCAGGUCUUAUUUUCCACACUUUGUUUUAAUCACGUUUCGUGUUUCUGUUUUCAUUUAAGAUGACAUCUGUUGGUUCUUGCCCUCUUUGCAGUGAAUAAUACUGCACGGCUGCUUUGCCCUCUUUUGGCAGACUUCUUGACACCUUCGACCACUGUCGCCUAUCGCUGAAGAUCAUCACACCAUUCACGUGUGCAACCAACUCAAAACACCGCCGUACACGGCCCCACGCAAGGCCCUGAUGUGUGAAGUUCACGCACACGUCACAUGACACAUCUCCGGCCAACGUCACACUGAUCUUCUCUCCCUCCGCCUCAAGGCAUCCCCGGUGGAUCUUUUUGCUUUUUUCAUCGGUGAAGUGCAUAGUCAACUCAAAAUACCGCCACACGCGGCCCCAUGCAAGGCCUUGGCGUGUGAAGUUCAUGCACAUGACACAUGAGGCGUCUCUAGUGAACCACCUUUAGUUUCUAUCAGGCAGUGUUGUUAAAAAGCGGCCAUGGUGGUGCCAUGGCGGAAAGGCGUG
rnacentral:lncRNA from 1 species